AAAGAACUGCAUGGUUCUUUUUUGAAAGAUGGUUUCGGCUAUCACUUACAGAUGGGCCCGCGGCGCAUUAGCUAGUUGGUGGGGUAACGGCUCACCAAGGCGACGAUGCGUAGCCGACCUGAGAGGGUGAUCGGCCACACUGGGACUGAGACACGGCCCAGACUCCUACGGGAGGCAGCAGUAGGGAAUCUUCCGCAAUGGACGAAAGUCUGACGGAGCAACGCCGCGUGAGUGAUGAAGGUUUUCGGAUCGUAAAACUCUGUUGUUAGGGAAGAACAAGUGCCGUUCGAAAGGGCGGCACCUUGACGGUACCUAACGAGAAAGCCACGGCUAACUACGUGCCAGCAGCCGCGGUAAUACGUAGGUGGCAAGCGUUGUCCGGAAUUAUUGGGCGUAAAGCGCGCGCAGGCGGUCUCUUAAGUCUGAUGUGAAAGCCCCCGGCUCAACCGGGGAGGGUCAUUGGAAACUGGGAGACUUGAGUACAGAAGAGGAGAGUGGAAUUCCACGUGUAGCGGUGAAAUGCGUAGAGAUGUGGAGGAACACCAGUGGCGAAGGCGACUCUCUGGUCUGUAACUGACGCUGAGGCGCGAAAGCGUGGGGAGCAAACAGGAUUAGAUACCCUGGUAGUCCACGCCGUAAACGAUGAGUGCUAGGUGUUAGGGGUUUCGAUGCCCUUAGUGCCGAAGUUAACACAUUAAGCACUCCGCCUGGGGAGUACGACCGCAAGGUUGAAACUCAAAGGAAUUGACGGGGGCCCGCACAAGCAGUGGAGCAUGUGGUUUAAUUCGAAGCAACGCGAAGAACCUUACCAGGUCUUGACAUCCUUUGACCACCCUAGAGAUAGGGCUUUCCCCUUCGGGGGACAAAGUGACAGGUGGUGCAUGGUUGUCGUCAGCUCGUGUCGUGAGAUGUUGGGUUAAGUCCCGCAACGAGCGCAACCCUUGACCUUAGUUGCCAGCAUUCAGUUGGGCACUCUAAGGUGACUGCCGGUGACAAACCGGAGGAAGGUGGGGAUGACGUCAAAUCAUCAUGCCCCUUAUGACCUGGGCUACACACGUGCUACAAUGGAUGGUACAAAGGGUUGCGAAGCCGCGAGGUGAAGCCAAUCCCAGAAAGCCAUUCUCAGUUCGGAUUGCAGGCUGCAACUCGCCUGCAUGAAGCCGGAAUUGCUAGUAAUCGCGGAUCAGCAUGCCGCGGUGAAUACGUUCCCGGGCCUUGUACACACCGCCCGUCACACCACGAGAGUUU
rnacentral:rRNA from 1 species